GCGGCGUGCUUCAUACAUGCAAGUCGAACGAGAAGCAGGAGCUUGCUCCUGUGGAAAGUGGCGGACGGGUGAGUAACACGUAGGAAAUCUGCCUUUGGGUGGGGGACAACAGUUGGAAACGACUGCUAAUACCCCAUAUGAGCUUGGUUGCAAUACCAAUCUUGAAAACUCCGGUGCCUAAAGAUGAGCCUGCGUCUGAUUAGCUUGUUGGCGGGGUAAUGGCCCAGCAAGGCGACGAUCAGUAGAUGGUUUGAGAGGAUGAUAAGCCACAAUGGGACUGAGACACGGCCCAUACUCCUACGGGAGGCAGCAGUAGGGAAUUCUGCGCAAUGGGGGAAACCCUGACGCAGCAACGCCGCGUGAAUGACGAAGCCCUUCGGGGUGUAAAGUUCUGUCAGUAGGGAAGAAUUUUGACUGUACCUACAAAGGAAGCACCGGCUAACUCCGUGCCAGCCGCCGCAGUAA
rnacentral:rRNA from 1 species